AUUGAACGCUGGCGGCAGGCCUAACACAUGCAUGUCGAACGAGUGGCGGACGGGUGAGUAAUGUCUGGGAAACUGCCUGAUGGAGGGGUAUAACUACUGGAAACGGUAGCUAAUACCGCAUACCAUCGGAUGUGCCCAGAUGGGAUUAGCUAGUAGGUGGGGUAAAGGCUCACCUAGGCGACGCUCCCUAGCUGGUCUGAGAGGAUGACCAGCCACACUGGAACUGAGACACGGUGCAGACUCCUAAGGGAGGCAGCAGUGGGGAAUAUUGCACAAUGGGCGAAAGCCUGAUGCAGCCAUGCCGCGUGUAUGAAGAAGGCCUUCGGGUUGUAAAGUACUGUCAGCGGGGAGGCGUUACCCGCAGAAGAAGCACCGGCUAACUCCGUGCCAGACGCCGCGGUAAUUC
rnacentral:rRNA from 1 species